rnacentral:rRNA from 1 species
GACGAACGCUGGCGGCGUGCUUAACACAUGCAAGUCGAGCGGUGAAGGGACCGGUUUUUGCUGGUUCUGGAUGAGUGGCGAACGGGUGAGUAACACGUGAGUAACCUGCCCCCUUCUUCUGGAUAACCGCAUGAAAGUGUGGCUAAUACGGGAUAUUCUGCGCCUGCUGCAUGGUGGGUGUGGGAAAGAUAUUGUUUCGGUGGGGGAUGGGCUCGCGGCCUAUCAGCUUGUUGGUGGGGUGAUGGCCUACCAAGGCGGUGACGGGUAGCCGGCCUGAGAGGGUGGACGGUCACACUGGGACUGAGACACGGCCCAGACUCCUACGGGAGGCAGCAGUGGGGAAUAUUGCACAAUGGGCGCAAGCCUGAUGCAGCGACGCCGCGUGAGGGAUGGAGGCCUUCGGGUUGUAAACCUCUUUCGCCAGUGAAGCAGGCCUGUCCCUUUUGUGGGUGGGUUGACGGUAGCUGGAGAAGAAGCGCCGGCUAACUACGUG